rnacentral:rRNA from 1 species
UUUUGGACAAUGGGCGAAAGCCUGAUCCAGCCAUGCCGCGUGAGUGAAGAAGGCCUUCGGGUUGUAAAGCUCUUUUAGUCGGAAAGAAAGAGUUGCAAUGAAUAAUUGUGAUUUAUGACGGUACCGACAGAAAAAGCACCGGCUAACUACGUGCCAGCAGCCGCGGUAAUACGUAGGGUGCGAGCGUUACUCGGAAUUACUGGGCGUAAAGGGUGCGCAGGCGGUCUUGCAAGUCAGAUGUGAAAGCCCCGGGCUUAACCUGGGAAUUGCGUUUGAAACUACAAGGCUAGAGUGCAGCAGAGGGGAGUGGAAUUCCAUGUGUAGCAGUGAAAUGCGUAGAGAUGUGGAAGAACACCGAUGGCGAAGGCAGCUCCCUGGGUUGACACUGACGCUCAUGCACGAAAGCGUGGGGAGCAAACA